rnacentral:tRNA from 1 species
AUGGAUUUUUUAGUGAAGUUCACGUCAUUAUUUCAUGAUGAAUAUAUAGACCUAUUUA